rnacentral:rRNA from 1 species
UACAGAGGUCCCAAGCGUUGUUCGGAAUCACUGGGCUUAAAGGGUGCGUAGGCGGCGCGGAAAGUUGGGUGUGAAAUCCCUCGGCUCAACCGAGGAACUGCGCCCAAAACUACCGUGCUCGAGGAAGAUAGAGGUGAGCGGAACUUAGGGUGGAGCGGUGAAAUGCGUUGAUAUCCUAAGGAACACCGGUGGCGAAAGCGGCUCACUGGAUCUUUUCUGACGCUGAUGCACGAAAGCUAGGGUAGCGAACGGG